GACUUGGACAUCCAACAGGCAGUCAGAAAUUCAGGUUAGGCAUUUAGAAGGGAUGUCAGUCCACAACUCCUAAAGCUGGCCAGUAAUGAGACAAGCCUGCCUAGGAGAUUGUGCUGUUUCACACAGGGUCAAAAACAGCUGGCGGAUUCCAAUAUACAGAAGAACUUACUGAAAAACCAGUAUCUUGUCAAGUUGAAUUAGUCAGGAGCCAGACAUAGUAACGACCUUUUUAAUCCCAGAGAAGGAGGCAGCAACCUUCUGCAGGCAGGAACAGAGGCCAUUUCUUUGUUCAAUAGUGCAGGCACCAAGC
rnacentral:lncRNA from 1 species